rnacentral:rRNA from 1 species
GACGAACGCUGGCGGCGUGCUUAACACAUGCAAGUCGAACGGAAAGGCCCUGCUUUUGUGGGGUGCUCGAGUGGCGAACGGGUGAGUAACACGUGAGUAACCUGCCCUUGACUUUGGGAUAACUUCAGGAAACUGGGGCUAAUACCGGAUAGGAGCUCCUGCUGCAUGGUGGGGGUUGGAAAGUUUCGGCGGUUGGGGAUGGACUCGCGGCUUAUCAGCUUGUUGGUGGGGUAGUGGCUUACCAAGGCUUUGACGGGUAGCCGGCCUGAGAGGGUGACCGGCCACAUUGGGACUGAGAUACGGCCCAGACUCCUACGGGAGGCAACAGUGGGGAAUAUUGCACAAUGGGCGGAAGCCUGAUGCAGCAACGCCGCGUGCGGGAGGACGGCCUUCGGGUUGUAAACCGCUUUCGCCUGUGACGAAGCGUGAGUGACGGUAAUGGGUAAAGAAGCACCGGCUAACUACGU